rnacentral:lncRNA from 1 species
UGUAAUUUGAGCGGGAUUAUUUUUACUUUUAGGGCGCCAUAUAUUAUCUAUAAUUAACUCACAUAACUGGCCUCUUCCGUAAUUAGGGUUUUCCAUCAAAUGAAUCGAAGAACUGGAACUUUGCAGAAGUUGCUACUGCAGGAUUGAGGUUCUGUUUGUGCUUUUGACAGGUGUUCAAGCAAGAGGGUUCAUAUUUGGUCCUCCUAUUGCAUUGGCUCUUGGCGAGAAAUUUGUUCCCAUCAGAAAACCCAACAGCGGCUCCAAUGGCAGGACUGCUAAUUGUGUGUUAUAGAAAGAAGAAGCCAAAACAUGGGCUAACUUAAUAUGCUAUUAUUAAUAAAGGAAAAGUGUACGGGUUAGGCAAUGAUAGUGACACGUGUGUACAUAGCAGAGAAGACCCUGAGAUUGAAAAGUUGAACUUAGUUAUCAAGGAGCUCGUUAAGGAAAAAGAUGAAGAAAAAGAUGAAGAAAAAGAAACGUUCAAUGGAAUUAUUGCGGCGUUGUUGGCUGACAAAGAAAAAGAUAAGGGGGAUAAAGAUGCGUUGCUUGAUAGGAUGUCACAAAUUGAAGCUAUGUUAACAACUGCAGUUCGAAGAUAGGCUAUAAACACUUGGUUUUGAAUGUUUAUAUGUUUAAUCUUAUUAGGAUAAUUUUAGUUAGUUUAUAUUUUAGUUGGUAUUUUUUAUAUGCUUUUGAAAACAAGAUAUUUUAUAUAAUUUUGGGAUUUUAUUAGACUUUUUUUUAUAUUAUUUGUAGUUUUAUUGAUAUGUAAUUUUGAUGAAAAUAGCAGGGAGAAAAGAAAUCUGAAUUUA